rnacentral:tRNA from 1 species
AUCCUUUUAGUAUAAUUAGUACUUCUGACUUCCAAUCAGAUAGACCUAGAAACCCCUGGGAAAGGAUA